UCAGUUAACAUUGUUGUGGAGCACACACGCACUAUACCAGUAAUAACAGUUUAAGACUUGAUGAUUGACUAGGAAAUUGUUGAUUGGUUUUGAUAUGAAGUAUUGUCGUGUUUGCUUGAUUGCUCUAAGGCCGAGUGAAUAGAUUUGAUUCUAUCAAAUACUGCUGGAUUUGUAGGCAUAUAGAAUAGUUGCAUUUCAUUGCAUUGCAUUGCAUUAUGUUGUGUUGCUUGGGGACAAGCAACGGUUUAAGUUUGGGGGUAUUUAAUAAGUGGAUUUUAUAUACACUUAUCCGAUAUCUUUUAC
rnacentral:lncRNA from 1 species